UACGGAGGGUGCAAGCGUUAUCCGGAAUCACUGGGUUUAAAGGGUGCGUAGGCGGUUUGAUAAGUCAGAGGUGAAAGCUAGCAGCUUAACUGUUAAAUUGCCUUUGAUACUGUCAGACUUGAAUCAGGUUGAGGUAGGCGGAAUGUGACAUGUAGCGGUGAAAUGCAUAGAUAUGUCAUAGAACACCAAUUGCGUAGGCAGCUUGCUGGGCUUGAAUUGACGCUGAGGCACGAAAGCGUGGGGAUCAAACAGGAUUAGAUACCCUGGUAGUCCACGCCCUAAACGAUGUUAACUCGAUAUUUAUUCUUCGGAGUGAGUGUCCAAGCGAAAGCGUUAAGUUAACCACCUGGGGAGUACGUUCGCAAGAAUG
rnacentral:rRNA from 1 species